rnacentral:rRNA from 1 species
GGACUACAGGGGUAUCUAAUCCCGUUCGCUCCCCUGGCUUUCGUGUCUCAGCGUCGGCACACUCCCAGCUACCUGUUUUCACCAUUGGCGUUCCAAACGAUAUCUACGCAUUUCACCGCUCCACCGUUUGUUCCGGUAGCCCCUAAGUGGCCCAAGAGAACCAGUAUACCCAGCAGUUCCACGGUUAAGCCGUGGGAUUUCACAAGGUACUUAGAACUCCGCCUACACACGCUUUAAGCCCAGUGAUUCCGCCUAACGCUCGGCACCUCUGUCUUACCGCGGCGGCUGGCAC